UGGCUGCCUAGGUUUAUCUAAA
rnacentral:misc_RNA from 1 species